GCUCCUCUCUCUCUCCUCCGUCUGUUUAAAUACUCCAACGGCUACCGCACGCGCGCCAUGAGAGCGUGAACGCCAUUGGCUGGCUGGCUGCCGAGCAUCUGGCGCGCGACUCCACUCGACGUUCGGAGCGGCGGCUCGCGCUCGCGUCCCGUUGCGGAUGCGUGAGACGGGACGGUCGCUGCUCCGCCGUCUGUCUCUCUCUCUCUCUGUCUGUCGCUGAAAACGGAAGAUUAACCGACAACAGCGGGGAUGUAACGACUAACGGCCGCUGCUACACUUUAUUUAAAUUCAAACCGUCGAGUUCGGGUUUAUUUACCCCCCUAAAAAACGGUAAAAAUGGCGACGGGGGCAGGCUGGCAGCCUCCGUACAACACCUCCUCCUCUAGCAACACCACCAAAUACACCCCAUCAUCAACAUCCACGGCGGCCAGCAUGUUUUACGACGGGAGCCUGACGCUGGAGUACACUCAAGACCUGCAUCUGAAGAUGAGCAAGAAGAUAGCUCAGCUCACCAAGGUAAUUUACGCUCUCAACACCAAGAACGACGAACACGAGGAAGAGAUCGAGUCCCUGAAAGAAGCCCACGAGGACGAGGUCCAACACAUCGUGACGGAAACCAGAGACAAGAUCAUGCAGUACAAGAGUAAGAUGGCGGACGAGGCGGACCUGAGGCGGCGGCUGGCCAGUCUGGAAGAAUCCGUCGAACUCCACGAGCACAUGAAGAGACAGGCUUUAGCAGAGUUUGAGAUGUACAGACAGAGAAUGGAGGAUUCCCAGCUCUGCACCGAGGCCCAGCACACACAGAGAGUGGUUUCUAUGAGCAGAGAGGUGGAGGAGAUGCGUCGGGAUUUUGAGGAGAAGCUGCGGGCGUUCAGCCAGGCUCAGGCCCAGUUUGAGGCGGAUAAGCGGCGAGCGCUGGAGGAGAUGAGGGCCACCCACCGGCAGGAGGUGGAGGAACUCCUCAACAACCAGCAGAACCAGAGCGCCACCUCCACCGAAGACCAGGAGAAACUGGCCGAGCUCCAUAGACAAGAGGUGGAGGCACUGAUGGAGAGGGUGGAGGAGCUAACGAAGGACAAGGUCCGUCUCGUAGAGGAGUACGAGGCCAAACUGGGCAAGGCACAGGAGUAUUACGAGAGAGAGCUGGAGGCCAUGAGGAGGACGCACCAGCUCACCACCGAGAACCUGCUGGCCUGGAAGAGGACCGAGGUCGAGCUUCGUAAGGAGUUCCAGGCUCAGGAGGCGGCGCUGCAGCGCUCGCUGUCCAAGCUGAGGAGCGAGCUCCAGAAAGCACAGGAGGAGGCCAGAGAGAACCGAGACAAGACCAACAGACUGCAGACAUCUCUGGCCAACGCCGAGGGGACCAUCAAGAACCUGCACAAGCAGCUGGAGGAAGCCAUCCAGGACGGAGAGAUCUGGGUGAUGCAGCUGAAGGACACGGAGUAUGAGCUGGAGGGCAGCAGGGAGCGAGUGCAACAGCAGGCGACUGAAAUCCUGCACAAAGCCAGUCAGAUCGGCUCCUUACAGGCCACCCAGAUGUCCCACGAGGCGACGAUCAGGAACCUGGACCAGGAGCAGAACCGGCUGAAGGAGAAGAUCGGCCGGCUCGAGGAGGAGAGGGAGGCGCUGCUCAACCAGAGCCAGGCGGCCAACGAACAGCACAAACAGCAAGUGCUCAAACUGGAGCAGUCUCUGCGCGAGGAGCACCAGGGUUACGAGAAGGAGCUCUCCAGGCUGAGGGCGCACUACGAGGAGGAGAUGCUUCGCUUCAGGGAGGCGCAGGUCCGAGCGCUGGAGGAGAUGGAGGAGAAACACCAGGCCAUGAGCGAGGAGGCGCAGCAGGAGAAGGAAGAGGAGAAGAGGCUCCUCAUGACAAAAAUGAGUCAGGAGUUUGAGAUAAAGCGGCUGUCACUGGAGGAGCAGCGAGACCGCCUCCAGCAGCAGCUCGACAACCUGAAAGAGGAGCUCUCGGCCAAACUCAAUAUGGCCAAUCAGGAGGUGUCCCACCUCCAGGAGCUGGUGAGGGAGGGGGAGCAGAACCUGGGUUCAGCUCAGACACAGAUCAACUGUCUGAGGGAAACUCAGGAGAAACUCAAGAUAGAGCUGGACGCAACCAGAUCCCGAGUGCGAGAGACCAGCAACCUGCUGACCGACCUGCAGGAGGAGAUCGAGACUCAGAGACAGCAGCACGAAGCCAGAGUGAUGUCCAUCAGAACAGAGGAGAAGCAGAAGAUGGACAAGAUGGCAGAUGACUUGGACCAGAAAUGGAGAGAUGCACUGCGGGAAGAGGUGCGCUUAUUAAAGGAGGAGCUGAACGAGGAGUACGAGGCCGACAAACAGGCGACGCUGACUCAGAUGUCUCAGCAGAAAGAGCUGGAGAUGAUGGCGGCGAGAGAGGGCUGGCAGAGGAAGGUGGAGGACCUGCUGGAGCAGAUCUCUCUGUUGAAACAGUCCCUGGAGCUGCAGUUGUCUCAGUCCCAGUCGGCUCUGCAGCAGCUGCAGUCCCAGUUCAACCAGGAGAGGGAGCUGCUGAGCCAACAGCUGAAAGAGAUGCAGAGAGAACAUCAGAGGAGAGAGCAUCGAUUACAAGAGGCUCACUGCUGUGCCCUGAGCACCAUGGAGGAGGCCAGACAACACCAGAUAAGGGCCCUGGAGGAGCGUCUGAAGCAGGAGCAGAGGGAGGAGGUCCACGCUCUGAAGGAGGCCCACAGGAGGACUUUAGACAUCCUGAGACAGCAGUCAGACCAGGAGCUGCAGACGCUGCGCUUUGAACUGGAGGACGAGGGGAAGGCAAAGCUGGCGUCUCUUCGUGCAGAGCUGAACCACCUCCACGCUACGGCCAUCGAGCAUCUAAAACAGAUCCACCUUAAAGAAAACAGCGUCGCCAAACGAGAGCUGGAGAAAGCGAUGGAGCAGAGCCACCAGCAGGAACAAGAGCUCCUGGUCCGUCUCUCAGACCUGCAAUCAGAGGUGUGUUCCCGUAGCAACCGCAUCACCGAUCUGGACCACGAGAUCCACUCUCUGAACGAGACCAUCGACACUCUGACCAGAGAGCUCGAGCUGAAGGGUAAAGAGGUGCUGCGGGUCCGCAGUGAAGCCAACCAUCAGAUAAGGGCUCAUGAACAAGACCUUUCGAAGAGACAUGAGAGGGACUUGGGGGAGAUAAGUAUAGCCCAUCACAGAGAAACACAGAUCAUGCUGGCUGACUUCAACAAGGCCCAGGAGGUCCUCAAAGACAAGAUAUCUGCUCUGCAAAUACUGUUGGAGGGGACAGAGGAGAAGUUAAGAAACAGAGAAAGCCGGCCAGAGGACCUGCACAUCAUAGCAGAGCUCAGAGAGAUGGUCACCGAAAGAGAGGCUCUGGUCAAGAAGCUGGUGGACGACAAGAAGUUCUACCAGUUGGAGCUGGUCAACAGAGAGACGGGGUUCAGCAAGGUCUUCAACUCCAGUGCCAACGUCGGCGUAAUCAACCCUCUUAUCAAGCCUUCCUGAGGCCAACGCCACGACGCCAUCCGACCCGAGGGGGAUGGUGGACGCAGGAAAAAGCAAAGAAUACGAAGAGGAGCUGUACUCCCAGAGAACACCAUAAGGACAUUUUCUUUGGAGGAGUCUGCCUCUCGUGGUUGGAACGUUGCCAUCACAUGACCUUCGCCCAUCGUUACCCCAAGGUUCAUGAUAGUCUUUUUGAAAUGUUGUCAUGGGAAACGCUGGUUAAACACUGGUCGCCAGUGAACCAUAGAAACCGCAGCUUGUUUUAGUCCUUU